rnacentral:misc_RNA from 1 species
AAGUCGUAACAAGGUUUCCGUAGGUGAACCUGCGGAAGGAUCAUUAACACUUUUUAUUAUUUUGUUUUUUUUCUAAAACAAAAUUUAAAACCCCACAAUUUUGGAUGAAUUUAAUUAAUUUAUUUUUUAUUUUAUUUUUUUUAUUAUAACCCUAUUAUUUGACUAACAUUUUUAUUUAAUUAUUAAAAAUUAAAAAAACAACUCUUAACAACGGAUAUCUUGGCUCUCG